GACUGCUCAGGUGGCCUAAUUGGUUAGAGCGUUCGCCUCGGAUGAAGGAGGUUGCGGGUUCGAACCCCUUUUGAGUCA